rnacentral:rRNA from 1 species
UACAUAGGGUGCGAGCGUUGUCCGGAAUCAUUGGGCGUAAAGCGCGUGUAGGCGGUCCGGUAAGUCCGCUGUGAAAGUCGGGGGCUCAACCCUCGAAUGCCGGUGGAUACUGUCGGGCUAGAGUGCGGAAGAGGCGAGUGGAAUUCCUGGUGUAGCGGUGAAAUGCGCAGAUAUCAGGAGGAACACCAAUUGCGAAGGCAGCUCGCUGGGACGUAACUGACGCUGAGACGCGAAAGCCAGGGGAGCAAACGGG